rnacentral:rRNA from 1 species
UCACUCGCUAUUGGGAUUCGACUCAAGCCAUGCGAGUCGAGAGGGUUCGGCCCUCGGCUGACGGCUCAGUAACACGUGGAUAAUCUGCCCUAAGGUGGAGGAUAACCUCGGGAAACUGAGAAUAAUACUCCAUAGGUCUAAGAUACUGGAAUGUACUUAGACUCAAAACUCCGGUGCCUUAGGAUGAGUCUGCGGACUAUCAGGUUGUAGUCAGGGUAAAGACCUGACUAGCCUACGACGGAUACGGGUUGUGAGAGCAAUAACCCGGAGAUGAUAUCUGAGACGCGAUAUCAGGCCCUACGGGGCGCAGCAGGCGCGAAAACUUCACACUGUGCGAAAGCGCGAUGAGGGAAUCCCAAGUGUAUGCACGUAAGUGUAUACUGUUUCUAUGUUUAAAAAGCAGAGAGAGUAAGGGCUGGGUAAAGACGGGUGCCAGCCGCCGCGGUAAUACCUGCAGCUCUAGUGGUGAUCAUUAUUAUUGGGCCUAAAACGUCCGUAGCCGGUUUAGUAAAUGCCUGGGUAAAUCGUGUAGCUCAACUAUACGACUUCCGGGUAGACUGCUGAACUUGAGAUCGGGAGAGGUUAGAGGUACUCCUGGGGUAAAGGUGAAAUUCUGUAAUCCUGGGGGGACCACCAGUGGCGAAGGCGUCUGACCAGAACGGGUCUGACGGUGAGGGACGAAGCCCUGGGGCGCAAACCGGAUUAGAUGCCCGGGUAGUCCAGGGUGUAAACGCUGCUUGCUUGAUGUUAGUCGGGCUCCGAGCCCGAUUAGUGUCGGAGAGAAGUUGUUAACCAAGCUGCCUGGGAAGUACGGUCGCAAGACUGAAACUUAAAGGAAUUGGCGGGGAGCACAGCAACGGUGGAGCGUG